UACGUAGGGGGGCAAGCGUUGUCCGGAUUUAUUGGGCGUAAAGAGCGUGUAGGCGGCCAAGCAGGUCAGCUGUGAAAACUCGAGGCUCAACCUCGAGACGUCGGUUGAAACCGCUUGGCUAGAGUCCGGAAGAGGAGAGUGGAAUUCCCGGUGUAGCGGUGAAAUGCGCAGAUAUCGGGAAGAACACCCGUGGCGAAGGCGGCUCUCUGGGACGGUACUGACGCUGAGACGCGAAAGCGUGGGGAGCAAAAGGG
rnacentral:rRNA from 1 species